ensembl:lncRNA
CUUGUUUUGCCUCAGGACCCACCUUCUUAGAAACAUUAGUUUGCUGAAGACCUGUUCUGCUGCCCCUGCUGAAUGGCCUGCUUCUGCCUUCUGUCCUGUCCCACUUGAUCUCCUUUGAUCUGAUGUAAAAGAAGGUAUGGAAAGUCUGAAGCCUUGCGGGAGCUGAAUGGUAGCUUUGCCUGUGUCUUCCAGCCAAGCAGAAAACAUCAUCCAGAAUCCUUGCUCAGUUGCAGGGCUGGAUUCUCUUAACCUCAGUUGGGUGAGUUCCUGUUACCCCAGUCUUAUUACUCUGGGCUGGUUCCCAGCCUUCUGCUAGAGCUAAAGGCUUCAGAACUUAAGUCGGAGGCACUGUAACUUCCAACCCACAGACCCCGCAGGAAGGAAGACCUUGUGGGCC